UUUGUCCAAUCAACUGCUGCAUUUAGUAGCAAGUCACUAUAAAAGGGGGGUUGGUCAUGUUACCACAGGAACGUCCUGAACAAGUGUUGCUGUAGCUUCGGUAAGUCCACAUUCAGACUAGUAAAUUACCAUAAAUUAUUUUGGUGCUAUUAUGUUUUCCAAAAUUUAAAAAAAAAACAUAGUCGUUUUACAUAUUUAUACAUUUUUUUAUAUUCGUACGUACAGGAUAUAUCUUUGUAAAAAAUAUCUCCACAUUAGAUUAUAUAUAAAGUAAGUUUGAAUUUCCUCUUUUAUCUCACGAUGAUGCAGUUAUCCUAUAGACAUGAAAAGACCCAACUACUGGUACUUAAAUACAUUUUCUAAAGGACGUUUGUAUAAAUAAUUAGUGUAAAUACAUAUUUAUAAUUUAGAUAACAAGAUUAUAACUUAUCUGUUUCAUUAUGGGUCUUAUAACCUUUCAAAAAUCAUUUUAAUUUUUAAUUUUUAUUUUAAUUACAGUUUCAAUUAGAUCCAUUUCGAGUUUGAUAAAUGUUACUGUUAAUUUAUCUGUAUUGCAUACAACAGAUAAAACUUUAAAAAAAAUCAUUUUGGUAUUAUUCUUGGAAUUGUUUUUCUUAUCUGUUUAUAAUGGUUCCUUUCAUAUUAUUUCAGAUGCGGAGAGCGAAAACUACAAAUACAAAUCCACAAGUUGAAAAUUUUCUACAUUAGAAUGUCAAAAAGGGGGAGAAGUGGAGUUGAAAACGAUUCGUGCAAACAGAGGAAGAGGCACAAUAAGCAGGUCAGUUGUUGGGGUUUGAUUUUAGUAUAAACAACAAUUUAUGAGAGAAAAAAAAGAUAAAAUAUAUAACUCUUUAUAUUUAUAUUGAUGCUAUCUUACCCAUUGUUUGUUUUCUCUUAUCCUGAUGUGUAUAUAUCUUUAAAU
rnacentral:lncRNA from 1 species